rnacentral:pre_miRNA from 1 species
AACCCUGUAGACCCGAGUUUGCAUGCACUGGAUUCAAAUUCGAGUCUACAAGGAAC